UAAGUGAGGUGUGAAUCCAAGGGCUCAACCUUGAACUGCAUUUCAAACUGACAGACUUGAGUAUGUGAGAGGAAGCUGGAAUUCCAGGUGUAGGAGUGAAAUCCGUAGAUAUCUGGAGGAACACCAAUGGCGAAGGCAGGCUUCUGGCACAUUACUGACGCUGAGGCACGAAAGCGUGGGAGCGAACGGGAUUAGAUACCCCGGUAGUCCACGCCGUAAACGAUGGAUACUA
rnacentral:rRNA from 1 species